UACGGGGGGGGCAAGCGUUGUUCGGAAUUACUGGGCGUAAAGGGCUCGUAGGUGGCCAACUAAGUCAGACGUGAAAUCCCUCAGCUUAACUGGGGAACUGCGUCUGAUACUGGAUGGCUUGAGUGCGGGAGAGGGAUGUGGAAUUCCAGGUGUAGCGGUGAAAUGCGUAGAUAUCUGGAGGAACACCGGUGGCGAAGGCGGCAUCCUGGACCGACACUGACGCUGAGGCGCGAAAGCCAGGGGAGCAAACGGG
rnacentral:rRNA from 1 species